rnacentral:rRNA from 1 species
UGAGUCCUACGGGACGCAGCAGUGAGGAAUAUUGGUCAAUGGUCGGGAGACUGAACCAGCCAAGCCGCGUGAGGGAUGAAGGUACAGAGUAUCGUAAACCUCUUUUGUCAGGGAACAAAGGCGGGGACGUGUCCCCGGAUGAGUGUACCUGAAGAAAAAGCAUCGGCUAACUCCGUGCCAGCAGCCGCGGUAAUACGGAGGAUGCGGGCGUUAUCCGGAUUUAUUGGGUUUAAAGGGUGCGCAGGCGGUCCGGUAAGUCAGCGGCCAAAGCCCGG